rnacentral:rRNA from 1 species
UGAAGUAAAAAAGUCGUAACAAGGUCUCCGUUGGUGAACCAGCGGAGGGAUCAUUACCGAGUUUACAACUCCCAAACCCCUGUGAACAUACCACUUGUUGCCUCGGCGGAUCAGCCCGCUCCCGGUAAAACGGGACGGCCCGCCAGAGGACCCCUAAACUCUGUUUCUAUAUGUAACUUCUGAGUAAAACCAUAAAUAAAUCAAAACUUUCAACAACGGAUCUCUUGGUUCUGGCAUCGAUGAAGAACGCAGCAAAAUGCGAUAAGUAAUGUGAAUUGCAGAAUUCAGUGAAUCAUCGAAUCUUUGAACGCACAUUGCGCCCGCCAGUAUUCUGGCGGGCAUGCCUGUUCGAGCGUCAUUUCAACCCUCAAGCACAGCUUGGUGUUGGGACUCGCGUUAAUUCGCGUUCCUCAAAUUGAUUGGCGGUCACGUCGAGCUUCCAUAGCGUAGUAGUAAAACCCUCGUUACUGGUAAUCGUCGCGGCCACGCCGUUAAACCCCAACUUCUGAAUGUGACCUCGGAUCAGGUAGAAUGCCCCA